ensembl:lncRNA
CUAGCGAGGUGUUGCUGAGGAACACACUGUUACUAAAGGACCUAGCGAGGUGUUGCUGAGGAACACACUGUUACUAAAUCCUUUGAGAACUGUGCCUUAUGAAGGACAUGCUUGGUUUUAAAGGUUUUUAUUUAGAAUUAAGAAUGAAUUAUGUUUUGUAUUGUUUACAGAGGAGAAUGUUUUUGCAGUAGAGUUGAACAUCAGAACACUGAGCUGUUGCAAAAGCAGGAUCAGUAAGUUAAGCCAGAUAACUCUUAUUAGGGGUAAAAUAUAGUUCUUGAUUUACUGAUAUAUUUAUAAAGCUGAACUUGAAUAUGGUUGUCAAGUCAGUUACAAUACAAUGAUGCCAGGUAUACCUUGACGUUAUUGCCAUGAUGCCAGUUAUACCUUGACGUUAUUGCCAUGAUGCUAGGUUAUCCUUGACGUUAUUGCCAUGAUGCUAGGUUAUCCUUGACGUUAUUGCCAUGAUGCUAGGUUAUUCUUGACGUUAUUGCCAUGAUGCCAGGUUAUCCUUGACGUUAUUGCCAUGAUGCUACAGUGCCUUGCGAAAGUAUUCGGCCCCCUUGAACUUUGCGACCUUUUGCCACAUUUCAAGCUUCAAACAUAAAGAUAUAAAACUGUAUUUUUUUGUGAAGAAUCAACAACAAGUGGGACACAAUCAUGAAGUGGAACGACAUUUAUUGGAUAUUUCAAACUUUUUUAACAAAUCAAAAACUGAAAAAUUGGGCGUGCAAAAUUAUUCAGCCCCCUUAAGUUAAUACUUUGUAGCGCCACCAUAUCCAAUAAAUGUCGUUCCACUUCAUGAUUGUGUCCCACUUGUUGUUGAUUCUUCACAAAAAAAUACAGUUUUAUAUCUUUAUGUUUGAAGCCUGAAAUGUGGCAAAAGGUCGCAAAGUUCAAGGGGGCCGAAUACUUUCGCAAGGCACUGUAGGUUAUCCUUGACGUUAUUGCCAUGAUGCUAGGUUAUCCUUGACAUUAUUUCCAUGAUGCCAGGUAUACCUUGACGUUAUUGCCAUGAUGCCAGGUUAUCCUUGACGUUAUUGCCAUGAUGCUAGGUUAUCCUUGACGUUAUUACCAUGAUGCUAGGUUAUCCUUGACGUUAUUGCCAUGAUGCUAGGUUAUCCUUGACGUUAUUGCCAUGAUGCCAGUUAUACCUUGACGUUAUUGCCAUGAUGCCAGUUAUACCUUGACGUUAUUGCCAUGAUGCUAGGUUAUCCUUGACGUUAUUGCCAUGAUGGUAGGUUAACCUUGACGUUAUUGCCAUGAUGCCAGGAAUACCUUGACGUUAUUGCCAUGAUGCCAGUUAUACCUUGACGUUAUUGCCAUGAUGCCAGUUAUACCUUGACGUUAUUGCCAUGAUGCUAGGUAUACCUUGACGUUAUUGCCAUGAUGCUAGGUUAUCCUUGACGUUAUUGCCAUGAUGCUAGGUUAUCCUUGACGUUAUUGCCAUGAUGCUAGGUUAUCCUUGACGUUAUUGCCCCAAUGCCAGGUAUACCUUAACGUUAUUGCCAUGAUGCCAGUUAUACCUUGACAUUUUUGCCAUGAUUCCAGUUAUACCUUGACGUUAUUGCCAUGAUGCCAGGUAUACCUUGACGUUAUUGCCAUGAUGCCAGUGUCAAGUCUCUGACAUUAUUUAGAGCGUUUGUUAGUCGGCUAACUGGUUGAUCCUGCGGUCUGGAACAGCCCCACGUCUCUGUUCAACCACCAGACCUCCAUGUUUUAAUAAACACUCUGAACCACCAGACAGACAUGUUUUAAUAAACACUCCGAACCACCAGACCUCCAUGUUUUAAAUCAAAUCAAAUCAAAUUGUAUUUGUCACAUACACAUGGUUAGCAGAUGUUAAUGCGAGUGUAGCGAAAUGCUUGUGCUUCUAGUUCCGA